rnacentral:rRNA from 1 species
CCGUGGGGGCUAGCUACCAUGCAGUCGAGCGCGAAGGAGCAAUCCGAGUAGAGCGGCGCACGGGUGCGUAACACGUGGAUAAUCUGCCUUCGAGUUUGAGAUAACCUUCCGAAAGGUUGGCUAAUACCAGGUAAGCUCACGGAGACUUCGGACUCUGUGGGAAAAGUAGGCCUCUGUUUACAAGCUUACGCUCGGAGAUGAGUCCGCGGCCCAUCAGCUAGUUGGCGGGGUAACGGCCCACCAAGGCAACGACGGGUAGCUGGUCUGAGAGGACGAUCAGCCACACUGGAACUGAGACACGGUCCAGACUCCUACGGGAGGCAGCAGUGGGGAAUUUUCCACAAUGGGCGAAAGCCUGAUGGAGCAACGCCGCGUGUGUGAUGAAGGUCUUCGGAUCGUAAAGCACUUUCGACCGGGACGAAAAACCCCUGGCCAACAUCCAGGGGCCUGACGGUACCGGGAGAAGAAGCACCGGCUAACUCUGUGCCAGCAGCCGCGGUAAUACAGAGGGUGCAAGCGUUGUUCGGAAUUAUUGGGCGUAAAGCGCGUGUAGGCGGCUUGGCAAGUCGGGUGUGAAAGCCCUCAGCUUAACUGAGGAAGGGCGCCCGAAACUGCUGAGCUUGAGUGCCUGAGAGGGUGGCGGAAUUCCGCAAGUAGAGGUGAAAUUCGUAGAUAUGCGGAGGAACACCGGUGGCGAAGGCGGCCACCUGGCGGGUCACUGACGCUGAGACGCGAAAGCGUGGGGAGCAAACAGGAUUAGAUACCCUGGUAGUCCACGCCGUAAACGAUGAGAACUAGGUGUCGUGGGUGUUGACCCCUGCGGUGCCGUAGCUAACGCAUUAAGUUCUCCGCCUGGGAAGUACGGCCGCAAGGUUAAAACUCAAAGGAAUUGACGG